AAGAGCUUUGGUCUGACCUUGGCGUUGUAAUAUCGGGCUACCUUCUGACAUAGUUCGUACUUUCGGACCAACUCAGCCGCGUCUUUCCUCAUGGUGGGCCAAUAGUAACCCUAUCGCAGGACUUUGUAGGCUAGGGAUUUGCCCCCCAAGUGAUUCCCGCAGAUUCCUUCGUGCACUUCUCGGAGAGCAUAGUCUGCGUCGAUCGGUCCCAAGCACCUGAGCAAGG
rnacentral:lncRNA from 1 species